GAAUGGAUUAGUGGCGAACGGGUGAGGAACACGUGAGAAACCUGCCUUUCAUUCUGGGAUAACACCGGGAAACCGGUGCUAAUACCGGAUACUCCGUCUUGGUGGUAUCGCCGAGCCGGGAAAAAGAUUUGAUGAAAGAUGGUCUCGCGGCCUAUCAGCUAGUUGGUGAGGUAAUGGCUCACCAAGGCGACGACGGGUAGCCGGCCUGAGAGGGCGACCGGCCACACUGGGACUGAGACACGGCCCAGACUCCUACGGGAGGCAGCAGUAGGGAAUAUUGGGCAAUGGGCGCAAGCCUGACCCAGCGACGCCGCGUGAGGGAUGAAGGUCUUCGGAUUGUAAACCUCUUUCAGUAGGGAAGAAGCGAAAGUGACGGUACCUAAAGAAGAAGCACCGGCUAACUAUGUGCCAGCAGCCGCGGUAAUACAUAGGGUGCAAGCGUUGUCCGGAAUUAUUGGGCGUAAAGAGCUCGUAGGUCGUUUGUCGCGUCGAUUGUGAAAAUCUGAGGCUCAACCUCAGACCUGCAGUCGAUACGGGCAAACUAGAGUGUGGUAGGGGAGACUGGAAUUCCUGGUGUAGCGGUGGAAUGCGCAGAUAUCAGGAGGAACACCAAUGGCGAAGGCAGGUCUCUGGGCCAUAACUGACACUGAGGAGCGAAAGUGCGGGGAGCGAACAGGAUUAGAUACCCUGGUAGUCCGCACCGUAAACGGUGGGCACUAGUUGUGGGAACCUUCCACGGUUUCCGCGACGCAGCAAACGCAUUAAGUGCCCCGCCUGGGGAGUACGAUCGCAAGAUUAAAACUCAAAGGAAUUGACGGGGCCCCGCACAAGCAGCGGAGCAUGCGGCUUAAUUCGACGCAACGCGAAGAACCUUACCAAGGCUUGACAUAUAGCGAAAAGUGGCAGAGAUGUCAUGUCCGCAAGGGCGCUAUACAGGUGGUGCAUGGUUGUCGUCAGCUCGUGUCGUGAGAUGUUGGGUUAAGUCCCGCAACGAGCGCAACCCUCGUUCUGUGUUACCAGCAUUUAGUUGGGGACUCACAGGAGACUGCCGGGGUCAACUCGGAGGAAGGUGGGGAUGACGUCAAAUCAUCAUGCCCCUUAUGUCUUGGGCUGCACGCAUGCUACAAUGGCCGGUACAAAGUGCUGCGAGAUCGUAAGAUUGAGCGAAUCACAUAAAGCCGGUCUCAGUUCGGAUUGAGGUCU
rnacentral:rRNA from 1 species